AUUGAACGCCGGCGGUGUGCUUUACACAUGCAAGUCGAACGGUAGAGGGGGCAACCCCUCGAGAGUGGCGAACGGGUGAGUAAUAUAUCGGAACGUGCCCAGUCGUGGGGGAUAACGUAGCGAAAGUUACGCUAAUACCGCAUACGAUCUAAGGAUGAAGGCGGGGGAUCGCAAGACCUCGCGCGAUUGGAGCGGCCGAUAUCAGAUUAGGUAGUUGGUGGGGUAAAGGCUCACCAAGCCAACGAUCUGUAGCUGGUCUGAGAGGACGACCAGCCACACUGGAACUGAGACACGGUCCAGACUCCUACGGGAGGCAGCAGUGGGGAAUUUUGGACAAUGGACGCAAGUCUGAUCCAGCCAUUCCGCGUACAGGAUGAAGGCCCUCGGGUUGUAAACUGCUUUUGUACGGAACGAAAAGGUCUCUCUUAAUACGGGGGACUCAUGACGGUACCGUAAGAAUAAGCACCGGCUAACUACGUGCCAGCCGCCGCAGUAA
rnacentral:rRNA from 1 species